CAGGCUUAACACAUGCAAGUCGAGGGGCAGCAUGGUCUUAGCUUGCUAAGGCCGAUGGCGACCGGCGCACGGGUGAGUAACACGUAUCCAACCUGCCGUCUACUCUUGGACAGCCUUCUGAAAGGAAGAUUAAUACAAGAUGGCAUCAUGAGUCCGCAUGUUCACAUGAUUAAAGGUAUUCCGGUAGACGAUGGGGAUGCGUUCCAUUAGAUAGUAGGCGGGGUAACGGCCCACCUAGUCUUCGAUGGAUAGGGGUUCUGAGAGGAAGGUCCCCCACAUUGGAACUGAGACACGGUCCAAACUCCUACGGGAGGCAGCAGUGAGGAAUAUUGGUCAAUGGGCGAGAGCCUGAACCAGCCAAGUAGCGUGAAGGAUGACUGCCCUAUGGGUUGUAAACUUCUUUUAUAAAGGAAUAAAGUCGGGUAUGGAUACCCGUUUGCAUGUACUUUAUGAAUAAGGAUCGGCUAACUCCGUGCCAGCAGCCGCGGUAAUACGGAGGAUCCGAGCGUUAUCCGGAUUUAUUGGGUUUAAAGGGAGCGUAGAUGGAUGUUUAAGUCAGUUGUGAAAGUUUGCGGCUCAACCGUAAAAUUGCAGUUGAUACUGGAUAUCUUGAGUGCAGUUGAGGCAGGCGGAAUUCGUGGUGUAGCGGUGAAAUGCUUAGAUAUCACGAAGAACUCCGAUUGCGAAGGCAGCCUGCUAAGCUGCAACUGACAUUGAGGCUCGAAAGUGUGGGUAUCAAACAGGAUUAGAUACCCUGGUAGUCCACACGGUAAACGAUGAAUACUCGCUGUUUGCGAUAUACUGCAAGCGGCCAAGCGAAAGCGUUAAGUAUUCCACCUGGGGAGUACGCCGGCAACGGUGAAACUCAAAGGAAUUGACGGGGGCCCGCACAAGCGGAGGAACAUGUGGUUUAAUUCGAUGAUACGCGAGGAACCUUACCCGGGCUUAAAUUGCAGAUGAAUUACGGUGAAAGCCGUAAGCCGCAAGGCAUCUGUGAAGGUGCUGCAUGGUUGUCGUCAGCUCGUGCCGUGAGGUGUCGGCUUAAGUGCCAUAACGAGCGCAACCCUUGUUGUCAGUUACUAACAGGUUCCGCUGAGGACUCUGACAAGACUGCCAUCGUAAGAUGUGAGGAAGGUGGGGAUGACGUCAAAUCAGCACGGCCCUUACGUCCGGGGCUACACACGUGUUACAAUGGGGGGUACAGAGGGCCGCUACCACGCGAGUGGAUGCCAAUCCCCAAAACCUCUCUCAGUUCGGACUGGAGUCUGCAACCCGACUCCACGAAGCUGGAUUCGCUAGUAAUCGCGCAUCAGCCACGGCGCGGUGAAUACGUUCCCGGGCCUUGUACACACCGCCCGUCAAGUCAUGGGAGCCGGGGGUACCUGAAGUGCGUAACCGCGAGGAGCGCCCUAGGGUAAAACUGGUGACUGGGGCUAAG
rnacentral:rRNA from 1 species